rnacentral:tRNA from 1 species
GCUCCCUUCGUCUAAUUGGUUAGGACACUGGCCUCCCACGUCGGUAAUAGGGGUUCGAGCCCCCUAGUGCA